GUGUGUGAAGAAGGUCUUCGGAUUGUAAAGCACUUUAAGUUGGGAGGAAGGGCAGUUACCUAAUACGUGAUUGUUUUGACGUUACCGACAGAAUAAGCACCGGCUAACUCUGUGCCAGCAGCCGCGGUAAUACAGAGGGUGCAAGCGUUAAUCGGAAUUACUGGGCGUAAAGCGCGCGUAGGUGGUUUGUUAAGUUGGAUGUGAAAUCCCCGGGCUCAACCUGGGAACUGCAUUCAAAACUGACUGACUAGAGUGUGGUAGAGGGUGGUGGAAUUUCCUGUGUAGCGGUGAAAUGCGUAGAUAUAGGAAGGAACACCAGUGGCGAAGGCGACCACCUGGACCAACACUGACACUGAGGUGCGAAAGCGUGGGGAGCAAACAGGAUUAGAUA
rnacentral:rRNA from 1 species